GAUGAACGCUGGCGGCGUGCCUAAUACAUGCAAGUCGAGCGAGCUGAUUAGAAGCUUGCUUCUAUGACGUUAGCGGCGGACGGGUGAGUAACACGUGGGUAACCUGCCUGUAAGACUGGGAUAACUUCGGGAAACCGAAGCUAAUACCGGAUAGGAUCUUCUCCUUCAUGGGAGAUUAUUGAAAGAUGGUUUCGGCUAUCACUUACAGUUGGGCCCGCGGUGCAAUAGCGAGUUGGUGAGGUAACGGCUAACCAAGGCAACGAUGCAGAGCCGACCUGAGAGGGUGAUCGGCCACACUGGGACUGAGACACGGCCCAGACUCCUACGGGAGGCAGCAGUAGGGAAUCUUCCGCAAUGGACGAAAGUCUGACGGGGCAACGCCGCGUGAGUGAUGAAGGCUUUCGGGUCGUAAAACUCUGUUGUUAGGGAAGAACAAGUACAAGAGUAACUGCUUGUACCUUGACGGUACCUAACCAGAAAGCCACGGCUAACUACGUGCCAGCCGCCGCGGUAAGAC
rnacentral:rRNA from 1 species